rnacentral:lncRNA from 1 species
CAUUUGGUAUAGAUGUGCUAGUGCUUGAUAUAAUCCAUGAUCUUGUAAGAUGAUUAAUAGCUAUGCAAUGAACAUAAAAGAAUAACAAAUAACUAUAUGAGAUCUUGUCUGUAAGUGAUCACCGGGACAACAGUGCAACCAUGAGGGCUAUAAUGUCUCUGGCUUUAGCUCAGUAUGAAGCACUUUUCUAGCUGGUUAGAGGUUACCCGAAAGGGCGGAGGGGCUGAACCGUUUUGGGUAUAGUGUGGCCUCUGUCUGUAUGAGUAUAGGCUGCGAGUCAUUGUGCCAUCGGAAGGGGGGCUCUAUAUCUGCGCGCAAAGAAAACCUUGCGGCCCUAACUUGUUAGACGAACUUUUGAAAGGCUUCAUAGUGAUCCCUGCCGACCUCCCUAGGAAGGGGGUUAAGAGAUUAGCUACCUCGGGCGAAAGGGUAAAUCAUGACUCAUGGGUAAAGAUGUACAACCUCUGCAGAGUGUAAAACUGGUAUACUAGCCGUGCUCACGGUUAUGAGCGGCCUUGGGGGUUCUUGCUGCGCCGACGAUGAGCUUAUUAAGUUGUUAGGUUCAUUUGAUUAUCGUUUAUGCAAUGGAUUAAUUAUGCUUACACAUGAUCAUGGGAUUAAUGGAUUAUUUAUGCUUCCUUGACAAUUGCUAUUUAAUUAUGAACAUGCUAUCCACUAUUAAAAGCUAAAUGCAGUCAAACCAGUGUCAGCUAUUUGAGCCUCAUGAACCCCUGGUUAUACUUGUUGAGUACGAUAUGUGCUCACUCUUGCAAUUUCCCAACACCUCAGGGUAUGAUAAUGAAGAUGACUGGAAUGAGGAUUAUCGGUAUGAGUACUAGGUUUGGAGUCAACCAGUCAACAGUGUCCCUGUGUGGAGCUUCCAUCGAGAGCGUUGUUUACUUUAUGCUAUCAUUUUUGUAUGAGACUAUGUGAUUCAAUAUAUAGUCCGCUAUGUAAUAAACACUGCAAUGGUACAUUUGAGAUUUGUCUACUUAUGUGUGCGACUGUUUCUGGGGCACAUAUGAGUCUUUUAUGCAUCCUAUUUUGUUCUUAAAAUAUGGGUGUGACAAAUUGGUAUCAGAGCUUUGUUGACUGUCGGACGCAAGCCUAGUUAGAAAUUGGCCGUCAUAAGGUUUUGAAAUUGCUAUAAAAUCCUUGUUCUAUAAACCUUGAUAUUUUCUUCUACACUAUAUCCUAUUCAUCUUCACCUUGUUGCUUAUCUUAAAGACUUGUUCUCAUCCCCACUCCUUGCUUUGAAUAUGCUUUUAGAACCUUCUCUUACUACCUGCUUACAUAGUUGAAAGAGAAUUUUAGGAAUCUUUGCCCUUAAUAGGAAGAGAACGAUAGUACCGCAAGUUGAGUUAAUGCUUGAAAUGCGAACCUUUGAUGCUUGGUUUGGUUUGUUAUUAUGCUUAUGCUUGAUUUGGAUCUUUGUAAUGAGUGCAAUGAUCUUGUGGAUUUCCUCUACAAUUUCAUUUAGUUUAUAGGCUUAAGGCAUAAGGAUUAAUGAACUAAAUAGUUGGGGUUGGUUAAAAUUCUGUUUCUGUCCUUUGCUGUUUUAUGGAGCAGUCUGCAAUGAAUCUGGUACAUCUCAAAAUCUGUUCAUGCAAUGUCCAUCAAAUUUUUCUGGGAACAAGUAGACUUCCAUAUCUUUCCAAUGCCGCAAGAAUGACCAUAUCAUCGAUUAUGAGCUGAGAGUUAUGACUGUUUCAAGUUGAGGUUUCUGCGCAGUCUGGAAUUCUGGAACAGUUUCGGUUGUACCCAGUUUUUGGUUAACCUCACGUUGGAAUCUGGUAAUAUGAUCUAAAUGAAAGUUGUAGACAAUUUCUUUAUCUUUCCAACGGUGUACAAUAUGUAUCCUUUUGAAUUCUGGAACUCGAGAUAUUACUGAUUUUCUGAUCUGCUGAUGUUGGAUGUUACCCAGAAAAUUUCAGAUUCGGUUAACUCUUGUAAUUGUCAUGUUGGACAUUACUAAGAUGUGUUUAUAUACCUUGGAAUGCAGAUGGCAGCAAGGGGAAGAGGCAGAGGCAGAGGCCGUGGCAAUAGUGACAAUGCCCCAAUUACUGUGGAGGAACUUAUGCAAACUCAGAAUCAGAUGAUGCACGUCUUCAUGCAACACCUACAACAACAACCUCCACCAACACCACCACCUGUUCAUGUGAGAGAUAAGCGGGGGGAAUUCAUGAAGGGAAGACCUCCGGUAUUUACACACUCAGCGGAUCCCAUGGAGGCGGAUGAUUGGUUACGUGCUGUGGAGAGGCAACUAAACAUAGCACAGUGCAAUGACUUAGAGAAGGUGUUGUAUGCUUCUGGACAACUUCAGGGAGCAGCUCAGACCUGGUGGGAGUCAUAUCAAGCUGCUCGUUCCAACAAUGCUCCUCCUGUCACUUGGUUAGAAUUUUGCAGAGACUUCCGAGCACGACACAUCAAUGAAGGAAUGAUGGAGCUCAAGCAGGAAGAAUUCAGAUCUCUUAGGAUGGGUUCUAUGUCUGUGGCUGAGUAUCAUGACACGUUUGAGCAGUUGGCUCGCUAUGCUCCAAACGAAGUCAGAGAAGAUGCUGACAAACAACGUCUCUUCAUGAAAUGUCUUUACCAUGAACUCAGAUUGCAACUGGCUGGAAAUACCUACCCUACAUUCCAGGCUCUGGUGAACCGUGCCAUUGUGUUGGAUAACAUGCGCAAAGGUCUGGAUAAGAAGAGGAGGAUGCUAGCACAAGGGUCUGGAGGCAACAACCGCCAACGUUUCAAUUCUCAGCAGAGCAAUCAACAGAGGUUCCAGGGACCAGUUAGUCAAUGGGAUCGCAACCAACAAUCUCAGCGUAAUCCUAAUCAUCAACAAAGUGGACAGCAGACUUCCCGCUCCGGAGAUUCAAAUGCCACCUCUAUGAAGAGAAGUGCUCCCAAUACCCCUACUAGGUGUUUUCGCUGUGGGAAAGAAGGUCAUAUGUCAUAUGAUUGCCCGGAGAGAUUCAACCAGCGGAACAACAAUCAAAAGUCUAAUUCUCAUGGAGCAAAGGUGAACCAUGUGGCUGCAGAGACAGUACAAGAGGGACCGGAGAUUAUGAUGGGUACGUUCAGUAUCAACUCUAUUCCCGCUACAGUUUUAUUUGAUUCUGGAGCUUCGCAUACAUUCAUAUCACAAGCAUUUGUUAGAGCUCAUAGCAUACCACUAGUUGCCCUGAAAACCCAUAUGCUAGUAAACUCACCGGGAGGGACUAUACCAGUUUCAUAUUGUUGCCCCUCAGCAAGUCUUUCUUUAAGGGGGGUAGAUUUCCCUGUUAGUCCCAUGGUUAUGAGAACCUCAGGCAUAGAUGUGAUAUUGGGUUUGGAUUGGAUGAAGAAAUAUGCUACGGAAAUUAAGUGCAAGGAGAAAGUAGUAGUUGUGACCACACCCAAGGGAGAGAGAAUCAGUGUGGACGUAGCAGUACAAGCUCCACCCACAGCCACAGUGAAUCAUUUAGAGGAUGAUGGUGUUGAUCUUCAGGACUGUGUAGGGAAUAAAUUUUCAGAUAAGUUAUUAGGUAUGUUACUUGACUAGAGACAUUGAAUUUGCUAGUGCAAUGGGAUUGGCAUUCACAAGGAGAAACAACUUGGGAAAGAGAAGAGGAUUGGAGAGAAUCAAAUCCACAGUGCUUUAUUUACACACUGCUCAAUCUCGAGGACGAGAUUCUUUUAAGGGGGUAGAGUUUGUAACACCCAAAAUUUUGAAUUUUAAUUAAUAGGAUUUAAUUUGAAUUAUUUAAGAAUUUUAGUGAGCAUUUAAUGUAGCAAAUAAAUAAUUUUUGUGGAAAUUAAAAUUUAUCAUAAGCUUAGUAACAUGAUUUUGUGCAUUCAUGCUGAGAUAUAUUUUAUUUUGUGUUGAUUGUAUUUGGUUUGUAUUUAAUUGUCCUCAAAAUCCUUUCUGAAAAAAAAACUUUGAAAAAAAAAUAAAACAAAACAGAAAAGAAAUUAGAAAUAAAAAAAAAAGAGAAAGCCCUUGGAAGACAGCCGAAGCCCAGCUCCCCGGCCUGGCUCCUCCCCCUCUUCUCUCCUCGCUGACACCCUGGGGCCGCAUGUCAGCGCUUCCAUCUCCUUCCUCUGUUCGUAACCGAGCCGGACACGGCCGGGAGCCAAUCGAACCCGAUUUCUCGGGAUUACUUGCCAAACGCGUUAGCCGAGCCCCUAUAUAAUCCCUAGCAUCGCCCCCGCGCGUGUUUCCCAUCUUCGCCGCGCAAAAUCCGUGUCCUAGCUACAGCAGCCGCCAGACGGGAUCUUGCCGCAAGCCGAGCGCCUUGCCGUGCGCCGCGAGCUCCUCCCGUCGUUCUUCGGCCCCAGCAAAGCACCUCCUCGAAUUCGCGGUGAGCUCCUCGUUCCGAUGGUGUUUUUCUUUCUUGAAACGGUGCUCGGAAACGAGAAACCCGCGAACGCCGGCGAGCUUUCGAACGGUGGCCAUGGCGCCACCGUGCUGAGCUCCGGUCGGCCGGCCAGGCUUGGCCCUGGAUGGAACACCAGCCGUUAGAUGCAAGAUCAAGGGACAGAAAUAGAAGUUACCCCUUCAGCUGCGAAACUAUAUAAAGAGUCCUUGAACUUUUUCAUAUUUGCUCCGCAGUCCUUGGCGCCCUGAGACGAUUCCGUUACUCAACUCCGAAAGCGUAUUUCGUGAAUUGCCAUUGGAUUUAGUUUGCUCAUAAAAUACUCAUUUUAACUCCGUUUUUGUCCAUUCAAAUUCCGUUGGAUUCGUAUUUACGAUCUCUACAUGUUAGAAAUAUUAGUUUACUGUUUUGAAACAUUUUAAUUCUGCAGUAGCAUUUAAUUAAUUAUUACUCUAUAGGAAAUCUUAGAAAAUUCAUAUCUUACUCGUUUUAAUUCCGAUUUUCGUGAACUUUACGUUUGUGUGAUCGUAGCGCUGCGUAGAAUAUUAUCAUAAACUUUUAUAUUUGUUUUACCACUGUUUGGUGUAUUGUUCUAAUUAUACCUUGUUUGCUUCGUGUAUGAUUGUCUACAUUGGAUUGCGUGUUGUUGAUUGAUGAUUGGGAUUAGACGGUGAGCCGUACGUUGGUGAUCAAGACCAAGCUUUUGAAGACCAGCGGGCUCAGGAGAGCUUUGGUCAAGGCAAGUAUAACUUGGGACCAUCCUUGUUACCUAUUCACUUAUAACUACAUAUAUAUAUCAUAUGCAUGCUAUCACCUUGUCGACCUUAGCAAAAUCAUAGAUGAUUGUUACCUGUAUUCCUUGCUACCUACUUGAUAUGCAUUUGGUAUAGAUGUGCUAGUGCUUGAUAUAAUCCAUGAUCUUGUAAGAUGAUUAAUAGCUAUGCAAUGAACAUAAAAGAAUAACAAAUAACUAUAUGAGAUCUUGUCUGUAAGUGAUCACCGGGACAACAGUGCAACCAUGAGGGCUAUAAUGUCUCUGGCUUUAGCUCAGUAUGAAGCACUUUUCUAGCUGGUUAGAGGUUACCCGAAAGGGCGGAGGGGCUGAACCGUUUUGGGUAUAGUGUGGCCUCUGUCUGUAUGAGUAUAGGCUGCGAGUCAUUGUGCCAUCGGAAGGGGGGCUCUAUAUCUGCGCGCAAAGAAAACCUUGCGGCCCUAACUUGUUAGACGAACUUUUGAAAGGCUUCAUAGUGAUCCCUGCCGACCUCCCUAGGAAGGGGGUUAAGAGAUUAGCUACCUCGGGCGAAAGGGUAAAUCAUGACUCAUGGGUAAAGAUGUACAACCUCUGCAGAGUGUAAAACUGGUAUACUAGCCGUGCUCACGGUUAUGAGCGGCCUUGGGGGUUCUUGCUGCGCCGACGAUGAGCUUAUUAAGUUGUUAGGUUCAUUUGAUUAUCGUUUAUGCAAUGGAUUAAUUAUGCUUACACAUGAUCAUGGGAUUAAUGGAUUAUUUAUGCUUCCUUGACAAUUGCUAUUUAAUUAUGAACAUGCUAUCCACUAUUAAAAGCUAAAUGCAGUCAAACCAGUGUCAGCUAUUUGAGCCUCAUGAACCCCUGGUUAUACUUGUUGAGUACGAUAUGUGCUCACUCUUGCAAUUUCCCAACACCUCAGGGUAUGAUAAUGAAGAUGACUGGAAUGAGGAUUAUCGGUAUGAGUACUAGGUUUGGAGUCAACCAGUCAACAGUGUCCCUGUGUGGAGCUUCCAUCGAGAGCGUUGUUUACUUUAUGCUAUCAUUUUUGUAUGAGACUAUGUGAUUCAAUAUAUAGUCCGCUAUGUAAUAAACACUGCAAUGGUACAUUUGAGAUUUGUCUACUUAUGUGUGCGACUGUUUCUGGGGCACAUAUGAGUCUUUUAUGCAUCCUAUUUUGUUCUUAAAAUAUGGGUGUGACAGCUGCCGGAAGUACCGACUACGCCACCCAACGAAUCCUAGGACAAUUAAGAAAAUGGAGAGUCCCGUUCGGAGGACUUAAAAACACCGAACGCCUUGCCAACAUGUAAACUUGGUAGUUAUCAUUUCCCUUUCAAUUAUUUCAACUAGUUUACUUAGUUAAGCAUGCUCAUACUAUCCUAAAAAGAAAAUAAAAAUGUGAAAAAACAGUAAGCCCCAUGUGAGUAUGCAAGUGGCAUAAAACCCAUAAGUACAUUCACUGUGGUGGCAUAAAAAUAAAAUAAAAAUUUCUUUUCUACUUUAUAAAAUAAAAAUAUAAAAACAGGGAGUAAUAAUUAUUAAGGAGUCUCAACACGAUAAAGGCUAGAUAUUUAUGCUAACACUUAAUCAGUUCCACAAGCUUUGUUGUCUAUUUGAGCUCCACAGAAUCUAAGAAUCAAGAAGACUAGCAGACGGAGGACAUUCUAAUCGCUGUCAGAAUGCUGCUGACUUUCAAAUACACUUCUGCCACCUGCUAGCUACAUCAAGAGAAAUUACGUCAAAAUUCAGCUUGGGGGAGAGCACCCCCAUUUAUCUCGAUAAGUAUUUCUAUCUAUCUAUCUUUAUAUUUAUACUAUAUUAAAAUAUAAUUAUGGAAAACCAAAUAAAGAUUUUAUGCUUAUAUAUAAAUAUAUCUUUUACUUAGUGUGUUUAAUAAAUAAAUAAAGUGGCUAUGCUAAUCUGUAUCUAAAUAAAACUUAAGCAUGGAUAUGAUGAAUAGUUGGUCUGCCUAAUUUGCACAUUUUAAGUUCUCUCUCAAGUUUAGAUAUAACUGUUAUAAUUUAAAUCUUGCUCUAGACCUAAACUUGUGGGAUGAAAACUUGAUCUGAGGUCUAAGUUGUUAACGGAUACGAUAUGGGAAGGUUGAGCUACUGUUUAUCUGUUCCUAGAGAUGCUAGAAUUCUGGAGAAUUUUAUCUUUGAAAAUCUUUAAAAUGUUGCAUGAUGAGUUCCUGUAUGAUGAGAGUUUAAAUUCCUACCACAGCCAUAUAUACAUGCUUGCUAGACUUUGAGCCACACAUUUACUAUUUACUGCUUAUGAGCAUUGAGUGUGGUCAAGCUGUGUAGACCCUUAGGAGCUUGUCAUGUGGUUAAAUCAAGAUUUCACUUGCACGUUCACUCAUAUAUGCUACUUCUACUCCGGAAGUACCAUCCACAUAUAUCCAUCCAUUUCCAUCUCUAGAAUCACCCAAAAAUAUUCUACUCCUAAUCCGGGAGGGAAUAACCAAAAAUAUUUCUGUUUUCCCCUAUGAAAUAAAUGCUCAAGUUAUCUUUUUACUACCACUUGCUAUAUUAUCUCAAGAGAUGAGUGCUCUAAAAAAAGAUAAAAAAAAGAGAAAAAAAUAAUAUAUACGAGGAAAUAAAAAGGAGCAAGUGCUCGGAACCUCGAAAGAAAAGAAAAAGUGAGACGAGAGGUAAAAAUGGACAAGUGUCCGACAGUAGAAUUAGGGGUACAAGAUACCCACCUGAGAGAAAAGAAAAAUAAAGAGCAUCUCAUUCUCCUCAAAAUAUUUCAAAAAGCAAGAAAGGUAUGUAUCACCUCAAAAGAGCAGUAGUAGAAUUAGACUUCCACCACCAUUGUUUCCAUCAUUGUUAUCACCAUCAUCACCAUACACCAUUCAUUCGCCACACAUGCACAUCUUGAUUUGACUUAUUGAUUUGUUUCUUUGGAUCCAUGGUUUGACUAUACAAUAAAUGUCUUGUAAGUAUGUAUACUUUAUCUCCCACCUAUGAGCUCUAGAUAUUAAAGCCUUAUUAGAGUAGGGUGAGAGAGAAGACAAUGUCACUAUGCUUUACACCACAAAUACUACAUAUAUUGAGAGAAGGCAUAUACCAUCACUGCCUUGGUAAGGAUCCAGAAAUACCACAAAAGAGAGAUCUGAGAGAAUCAUACAAGGAAUCUCUGAGUUUUAUUUGAAAAUCUGCAAAAACCCCAGAGCUAUAGCUGAUCAAGAAUAAGAGACAUGACACUUGGCUAGACUGUUCUAUCUUUUAACCUCUCAAGACAGAAGUGACGGUUACAAGUCCCAUAGUGAAGGUAAAGUAAGUAAGUUUUAAGUCUUGACAGUUUACUCUAAUCAGAGAUGAGAUCUUAUUUAAAAAGCAUGUGUACCGUCAAUUUUGAAAGAUAUUGCAACAACUUAUGAUCCAUAGCUGAGUCUAUCCUUGCUCAGGGACGAGCAAGAGGUAAGCUUGGGGGAGUUUAUUGACGGUCCUUAAGUAUCAAAUUUAAUUAUCAAAUAAAUAAAGAAAAGGAUCCAAAUGAAAUCAACAUCUAGACUUAGGGUUUUAUCUGACAGAAUUCCACGAGUUUUGGUGUUUGUCUAUUUCUGCAGGGGGUUAUCAGGAAAUAAGGAAGAAAGGCCCUUCGGGAUUACAUAGAGAUAUUAACGUGCUGCACAAUUAUCU